CCUACGGGUGGCAGCAGUGGGGGAUAUUGCACAAUGGGGGGAACCCUGAUGCAGCGACGCCGCGUGGGUGAAGGAGUGCUUCGGCAUGUAAAGCCCUAUCGGCAGGGAAGAAGCAAGACGGUACCUGACUAAGAAGCCACGGCUAACUACGUGCCAGCAGCCGCGGUAAUACGGAGGGGGCGAGCGUUAUCCGGAUUCACUGGGUGUAAAGGGAGCGUAGACGGCCAUGCAAGCCAGGGGUGAAAGCCCGGGGCCCAACCCCGGGACUGCCGUUGGAACUGGGCGGCUAGAGUGCGGGAGGGGCAGGCGGAAUUCCUGGUGUAGCGGUGAAAUGCGUAGAUAGCAGGAGGAACACCGGCGGCGAAGGCGGCCUGCUGGACCGCGACUGACGUUGAGGCUCGAAAGCGUGGGGAGCGAACAGGAUUAGAUACCCUAGUAGUC
rnacentral:rRNA from 1 species